rnacentral:rRNA from 1 species
UUGGAUCCAGACUUUGAUCCUGGCUCAGGAUGAACGCUAGCUACAGGCUUAACACAUGCAAGUCGAGGGGCAGCAUGAUUGAAGCUUGCUUCAAUUGAUGGCGACCGGCGCACGGGUGAGUAACACGUAUCCAACCUGCCGAUAACUCGGGGAUAGCCUUUCGAAAGAAAGAUUAAUACCCGAUAGUAUAGUAUUUCCGCAUGGUUUCACUAUUAAAGAAUUUCGGUUAUCGAUGGGGAUGCGUUCCAUUAGAUAGUUGGCGGGGUAACGGCCCACCAAGUCAACGAUGGAUAGGGGUUCUGAGAGGAAGGUCCCCCACAUUGGAACUGAGACACGGUCCAAACUCCUACGGGAGGCAGCAGUGAGGAAUAUUGGUCAAUGGACGAGAGUCUGAACCAGCCAAGUAGCGUGAAGGAUGACUGCCCUAUGGGUUGUAAACUUCUUUUAUACGGGAAUAAAGUGGAGUAUGCAUACUCCUUUGUAUGUACCGUAUGAAUAAGGAUCGGCUAACUCCGUGCCAGCAGCCGCGGUAAUACGGAGGAUCCGAGCGUUAUCCGGAUUUAUUGGGUUUAAAGGGAGCGUAGGCGGGUGCUUAAGUCAGUUGUGAAAGUUUGCGGCUCAACCGUAAAAUUGCAGUUGAUACUGGGCGCCUUGAGUGCAGCAUAGGUAGGCGGAAUUCGUGGUGUAGCGGUGAAAUGCUUAGAUAUCACGAAGAACUCCGAUUGCGAAGGCAGCUUACUGGACUGUAACUGACGCUGAUGCUCGAAAGUGUGGGUAUCAAACAGGAUUAGAUACCCUGGUAGUCCACACAGUAAACGAUGAAUACUCGCUGUUGGCGAUACACAGUCAGCGGCCAAGCGAAAGCAUUAAGUAUUCCACCUGGGGAGUACGCCGGCAACGGUGCAACUCAAAGGAAUUGACGGA